UACGUAGGGGGCAAGCGUUGUCCGGAAUCAUUGGGCGUAAAGCGCGUGUAGGCGGCUCGAUAAGUCCGCUCUGAAAGCCCGGGGCUCAACCCCCGGGAGGCGGGCGGAAACUGUCGGGCUAGAGUCCGGAAGAGGCGAGUGGAAUUCCCGGUGUAGCGGUGAAAUGCGCAGAUAUCGGGAGGAACACCAAUGGCGAAGGCAGCUCGCUGGGACGUGACUGACGCUGAGACGCGAAAGCGUGGGGAGCAAACAGG
rnacentral:rRNA from 1 species